rnacentral:sRNA from 1 species
AGCCAAGCAUCACGCCAUGAAGAGCAUGUGCAGAACAUUCGCCGGUUUCAUGAAUCCCUGCAUCUUCAGGGAGAGGCACUCUUGCCAUGUGAUGACAAACUGACCACAUCACCUUUGUCCUCCCAAACCUCCAUUCUGACUUCUCUCAGGAAGAAUCUGAGUGAGCUUGAUCAGAUCCAGAGGUACUUCAGCCAGAAGCUCACCAAGCCUUUCCUGCCCCUCAGCCCUCAGACUCAAACGGCCAUCUCACAGCACCAGGAGAGCUGUAGGGACCAUCUUGGGCCAGGUGCCAGCAGCCUAGACCCUGGGAGCCAGUGUAUCCUGGAGAAAUCCAGUAACCUGGUGUUGCAAGUCAGCUCCUUAAUCACGGAUCUGCAGACUAUCACCAGGGAUUCGCAAGCAGCUUUGAGUUCUCACCGAGCCAGGAGUAGAAGCAACAAGGCCACCACCCUCCCAGAUGCUCAGGACACAGAGGCACUGCAAGAACAAUGCACAAUGCCAGAUGAGCCAUUGGCAAGAGCUCCAGAUAAGGGCACAGAUUCCCCACCACCCCCUCCUCUCGAAGAGACUUCAAAUGGAGGAAGAAUGCUCCAUGAGUCCCUGAGGCAUACAGUACCCAUUACAAGGAUGCAGAGCAGUGAAGACACUGAGGCAGGCCCAGCCUACAGUGAUGAGGACUAUGAAGAAGACAUCAUUGAGCCCAGGACCUUAAAUGAGAUCACCACGGUGACAGACAAAACUAGCCCUUGGUCUAGUUUCAUAUCAGACACAAGUGAGGUCAUCAGCCCUCAGCCUGACGAGGUGCAGAGGGAAGGCCCC